GAUGAACGCUGGCGGCGUGCCUAAUACAUGCAAGUCGAGCGAACGUACGGGAAGCUUGCUUCUCUGAGUGUAGCGGCGGACGGGUGAGUAACACGUGGAUAACCUACCUAUAAGACUGGGAUAACUUCGGGAAACCGUAUCUAAUACCGGAUAAUAUUGUGAACCGCAGGGUUCAAAAGUGAAAGACGUUCUUGCUGUCGCUUAUAGAUGGAUCCGCGCUGCAUUAGCUAGUUGGUAAGGUAACGGCUUACCAAGGCAACGAUGCAUAGCCGACCUGAGAGGGUGAUCGGCCACAGUGGAACUGAGACACGGUCCAGACUCCUACGGGAGGCAGCAGUAGGGAAUCUUCCGAAAUGGGCGAAAGCCUGACGGAGCAACGCCGCGUGAGUGAUGAAGGUCUUCGGAUCGUAAAACUCUGUUAUUAGGGAAGAACAUAAGUGUAAGUACCUGUGCACAUCUUGACGGUACCUAAUCAGAAAGCCACGGCUAACUACGUG
rnacentral:rRNA from 1 species